rnacentral:rRNA from 1 species
GAUGAACGCUAGCGGCAGGCUUAAUACAUGCAAGUCAAGGGGGUAGCAAUACAACCAGCGCACGGGUGAGUAACGCGCACACAACAUACCAUAUACUGGGGUAUAGCUUUGGGAAACUGAAGGUAAUCCCCCAUAACAUUGCGAGAGGGCAUCUGAUUGCAAUUAAAGUUUCGGCGGUAUAUGAUUGGUGUGCGUUUGAUUAGCUAGUUGGUAGGGUAACGGCCUACCAAGGCGACGAUCAAUAGCUGGCGUGAGAGCGCGACCAGCCACACUGGAACUGAGACACGGUCCAGACUCCUACGGGAGGCAGCAGUGGGGAAUAUUGCGCAAUGGGCGAAAGCCUGACGCAGCCACGCCGCGUGAGUGAUGAAGGCCUUCGGGUCGGUAAAACUACUGUCGGGAGGGACGAAGGGGCGAACCCUCGACGGUACCUCGCAAGAAAGCACCGGCUAACUCUGUGCCAGCAGCCGCGGUAAU